rnacentral:rRNA from 1 species
AUUGAACGCUGGCGGAAUGCUUUACACAUGCAAGUCGAGCGGCAGCGCGGGGCAACCUGGCGGCGAGCGGCGAACGGGUGAGUAAUGCAUCGGAACAUGUCCAUGGAUGGGGGAUAGCCCGGCGAAAGCCGGAUUAAUACCGCAUGAGCCCGAGAGGGGAAAGUGGGGGACCGCAAGGCCUCACGUCGAUGGGUUGGCCGAUGCCCGAUGAGCUAGUUGGUGAGGUAAUGGCUCACCAAGGCGAUGAUCGGUAGCUGGUCUGAGAGGAUGAUCAGGCACACUGGGACGGAAACACGGCCCAGACUCCUACGGGAGGCAGCAGUUGGGAAUUUUGGACAAUGGGGGCAACCCUGAUUCAGCCAUUCCGCGUGAGUGAAGAAGGCCUUCGGGUUGUAAAGCUCUUUUGUCCGGAGCGAAACGGGGCGCGUGAAUAUCGCGCUCUACUGACGGUACCGGAAGAAUAAGCACCGGCUAACUACGUGCCAGCAGCCGCCGUAA